UUGUGGAGGAGGACGCCGAAGGUGGGGCUAAUGACUGGGGUGAAGUCGUAACAAGGUAGCCGUACCGGAAGGUGCGGCUGGAUCACCUCCUAACAGGGAGACAACAAAAUGUUUAAUAUUAUUAUUUUGUCACCUUAGGUCGAUCGGUAUCUCACAUCCUUAAUUAAUUAAGGAUUUUAUUUCCUAAGUUUUUCUAGGUCACACCCAUUAUUUUUCCUGGGCCAUUAGCUCAGGUGGUUAGAGCGCACCCCUGAUAAGGGUGAGGUCCCUGGUUCAAGUCCAGGAUGGCCCAUAUCUCUAUGUUGGGGGUAUAGCUCAGUUGGUAGAGCGCCUGCUUUGCAAGCAGGAUGUCAGCGGUUCGAGUCCGCUUACCUCCACUGAUUACCACCUCUUCCAUAUUUUUUAAGGAAAUGUUUUGAGUUGUGAUCAAAUUCUGAACGAAUCUAGCUUCCUAAUGAAAUCAUUAAGAUGCUGGACUCAUUGAAUUAAAUUCAUUGUUUUCAGAGAACCUUGACAACUGCAUAGAUUAUUUUUAAAGACAAUAAGCAUCUUUAAUGAUGCAGAUUUAUUAUUUGUGCGAAUGCAUUAAUAACAAUUCUAUUAAGCUGAUGCUUCAAUUUUGAAGUUAUUGGUCAAGCUACAA
rnacentral:misc_RNA from 1 species